CGGGGUGUAGCUCAGUUGGCUCAGAGCGCAUGGUUCGGGACCAUGAGGUCCCCGGUUCAAAUCCGGGCACCCCGA
rnacentral:tRNA from 1 species